CCCCGGAGCACGUCCCCUCCCCGCCGGGCGCCGGGCUCCGAGGGUGCCUCCGCCGCCUGCCCGCCGGCUCUGCCCUGGUGCGCGCGUGUGGGAGGGUGUGUGUUUGUGCCGUGGCCGCCGCCGCCGCCGCCGCCUGUCGCUGAGGCUGGCAUCGCCGAGCCCCCGCGCGGGGGGCUGCCGCCCGAGCUCCUGAUUGACAGGCCGCCUCGCCAAUGCCUGGAGGGAGAAAGGAGGGCUUGUGGCUGCUCUAUUGUGUGUUCUCCAAAGGGCAGCUUUCUUCUAUUGGUUCUGCUGUGGGACUUCUGCUCAUCCUUGUUUAGGUCAGGAUUUCAAGGUCCUCCCUGGAAAGAUGAAGUAGCAGGAAAUGAUAGACCAAGCACCAGGCCUGGAAUCAGAAGCCUGGUGUUCCACUCCCAGCUUUAUUUCUUAAUGGGUGCCUGACUUCAGUCAAGUUCUAUUCUUUUCAGAAUACCAGCUCCUUGUCAUGAUUAAAAGGUCUGUAACAAUAAUAUCUUCUCUAAUAAUAUCUAGUAAUACCUCUCUAAGUUAUUAUGAAGUAAAAUGAAAAUUCAUAAAUUAUUUAAAUAAUUUCAGGCCACAGGAAAAACAAAGGACAGUUCAUUUGUUCACUUUACAAAGCUAGGAUAAUCUAAUAAUUAUAUGUUCACUUACAAAUGUGGAUGGAAAAAGUCUGACUAAAACAUUAGUUUAUUGAAUGUAGCAUUGUAUCAAAUGAAUGACACACCAUGACUCGGAGCGUUUAUUUUUGUAAGCAAAGCUAUUUUGAUAUAAGAGAAUCUACAAGUUAAUAAUUCUUCAAAUUAAACUAAAAGAGGAAAAAGAGUAAUAUGAUUAAAUCAUUAGAUGCUGUAAUGUAAUUUUGUAAAAUUAAAUAGCCAUUCUUUUUUUAAAAUAAUUUCACCUUUUAUUUUAGAUUUAAGGGGUACAUGUGCAGGCUUGUUGCAUGGGUACAUCGCGUGAUGCUGAGGUUUGGGAUAUGGAGGAUCCUGUGACCCAGGUAGUGAGCAUCAUAGCCAAUAGGUAGUUUUUCAGCCCAAUCCCCUCUCCCUCUCUUCUCCCUCUAGUAGUCCCCAGUGUCUCUUGUUGCCAUCUUUAUGUCCAUGUGGACUCAAUGUUUAGCUCCCACUUAUAAGUGAGAAUAUGUGGUAUUUUGGUUUUCUGUUCCUGCGUUAAUUUGCUUAGGAUAAUGGCCUCCAGCUGUAUCCACGUUGCUGUAAAGGACAUGAUUUUGUUCUUUUUCAUGGCUGUGCAGUAUUCCAUGGUAAAAAUGUGCCAUAUUUUCUUUAAUCCACCAUUGAUGGGCACGUACGUUGAUUCCAUGUCUUUGCUAUCAUGAAUAGCGCCACGAUGAACAUACGAAUGCGUGUGUCUUUUUGGUAGAAUGAUUUAUUUUAUUUUGGAUAUAUAGUCAGUAAUGGAAUUGCUGGGUCAAAUAGUAGUUCUGUUUUAAGUUCUUUAAGAAACCUCCAAACUGCUUUCCACAGUGACUGAACAAAUUUACAUUCCCACCAACAGUGUAUAGUAGGCAUUUCCUGACAAGUGUGAGAUUGUAUCUCCUUGUGGUUUUGAUUUGCAUUUCUCUGAUGAUUAGUGAUGUUGAACAUUUUUUCACAUUUUUGUUGGCCACUUGUAUGUCUUCUUUUCCAAAGUGUCUGUUUAUGUCUGUUGCCCUAUUUUUUUCCUUUUUCCCAGUUACAUGAGAAAGGAAAUGUUGACCAUUUUUAAAUCAGAUUGUUUUAUUUUAUUUUUUUUUCUUGUCGAUUUGUUUAAGUUCUUUACAGAUUCUGGAUAUUAGAUUUUU
ensembl:lncRNA